rnacentral:rRNA from 1 species
UACAGAGGAGCCAAGCGUUGUCCGGAUUGACUGGGCGUAAAGCGCACGCAGGCGGACGCGCGCGUGGGGUGUGAAAUCUGGCCGCUUAACGGCCAGGCGCCAUCCCAUACGGCCGGACUGGAGCCUUGCAGAGGUCGGUGGAAUUGCCGGUGUAGUGGUGAAAUGCGUAGAGAUCGGCAGGAACACCAGUGGCGAAGGCGGCACUCUGGGCCAGUACUGACGCUGAGGAGCGAAAGCGUGGGGAGCAAACAGG